GAUGAACGCUAGCUACAGGCUUAACACAUGCAAGUCGAGGGGUAGCAGGGUAGCAAUACCGCUGACGACCGGCGCACGGGUGAGUAACACGUAUCCAACCUUCCCAUAACUCGGGGAUAGCCUUUCGAAAGAAAGAUUAAUACCCGAUAGUACUUUUUCAAGGCAUCUUGAAAAAGUUAAAGAUUUAUUGGUUAUGGAUGGGGAUGCGUUCCAUUAGAUAGUUGGUGAGGUAACGGCUCACCAAGUCUUCGAUGGAUAGGGGUUCUGAGAGGAAGGUCCCCCACAUUGGUACUGAGACACGGACCAAACUCCUACGGGAGGCAGCAGUGAGGAAUAUUGGUCAAUGGGCGAGAGCUUGAACCAGCCAAGUAGCGUGAAGGAUGAAGGUCCUAUGGAUUGUAAACUUCUUUUAUAGUAGAAUAAAGUGAUCCACGUGUGGAUUUUUGUAUGUAUACUAUGAAUAAGGAUCGGCUAACUCCGUGCCAGCCGCCGCAGUAAUAC
rnacentral:rRNA from 1 species